rnacentral:rRNA from 1 species
CAGCAGCCGCGGGAAUACGUAGGUCCCGAGCGUUGUCCGGAUUUAUUGGGCGUAAAGCGGGCGCAGGCGGUUAGAUAAGUCUGAAGUUAAAGGCUGUGGCUUAACCAUAGUACGCUUUGGAAACUGUUUAACUUGAGUGCAAGAGGUGAGAGUGGAAUUCCAUGUGUAGCGGUGAAAUGCGUAGAUAUAUGGAGGAACACCGGUGGCGAAAGCGGCUCUCUGGCUUGUAACUGACGCUGAGGCUCGAAAGCGUGGGGAGCAAACAGGAUUAGAUACCCCCGUAGUCCCUGUCUCUUAUACA